rnacentral:rRNA from 1 species
UACAGAGGGUGCAAGCGUUGUUCGGAAUUAUUGGGCGUAAAGCGCGUGUAGGCGGCAUUGCAAGUCGGGUGUGAAAGCCCUCAGCUCAACUGAGGAAGUGCGCCCGAAACUGCAGUGCUUGAGUACCGGAGAGGAUGGCGGAAUUCCCCAAGUAGAGGUGAAAUUCGUAGAUAUGGGGAGGAACACCGGUGGCGAAGGCGGCCAUCUGGACGGAUACUGACGCUGAGACGCGAAAGCGUGGGGAGCGAACAGG